UACGUAGGGUGCGAGCGUUGUCCGGAAUUAUUGGGCGUAAAGGGCUCGUAGGCGGUCUGUCGCGUCGGCUGUGAAAGCCCGGGGCUCAACCCCGGGUCUGCAGUCGAUACGGGCAGGCUAGAGUGCGGUAGGGGAGACUGGAAUUCCUGGUGUAGCGGUGAAAUGCGCAGAUAUCGGGAGGAACACCGGUGGCGAAGGCGGUUCUCUGGGCCUGUACUGACGCUGAGGAGCGAAAGCGUGGGGAGCGAACAGG
rnacentral:rRNA from 1 species